rnacentral:rRNA from 1 species
UACGAAGGGGGCUAGCGUUGCUCGGAAUCACUGGGCGUAAAGCGCACGUAGGCGGAUCUUUAAGUCAGGGGUGAAAUCCUGGAGCUCAACUCCAGAACUGCCUUUGAUACUGGGGAUCUCGAGUCCGGAAGAGGUGAGUGGAACUCCGAGUGUAGAGGUGAAAUUCGUAGAUAUUCGGAAGAACACCAGUGGCGAAGGCGGCUCACUGGCCCGGAACUGACGCUGAGGUGCGAAAGCGUGGGGAGCAAACAGG